rnacentral:rRNA from 1 species
GAUCCUGGCUCAGAUUGAACGCUGGCGGCAGGCCUAACACAUGCAAGUCGAGCGGGGUUUUUCGGGACCUAGCGGCGGACGGGUGAGUAAUGCGUAGGAAGCUACCCGAUAGAGGGGGAUACCAGUUGGAAACGACUGUUAAUACCGCAUAAUGUCUACGGACCAAAGUGUGGGACCUUCGGGCCACAUGCUAUCGGAUGCGCCUACGUGGGAUUAGCUAGUUGGUGGGGUAAUGGCUCACCAAGGCGACGAU